UUACGGUCAAAUCACGCUGAAAAGACCGGUUCUCGUUCGAUCACCGAAGUUAAGCAUCGUAGAGCCACGUCAGUACUUAGAUGGGGGACCGCUUGGGAACACCUGGUACUGUAAG
rnacentral:rRNA from 1 species